GGCAAGAUGGCCGAGUGGUCUAAGGCGCUGCGUUCAGGUCGCAGUCUACAUUGUAGGCGUGAGUUCGAACCUCACUCUUGUCA
rfam:Conidiobolus coronatus NRRL 28638 unplaced genomic scaffold CONCOscaffold_136, whole genome shotgun sequence.